rnacentral:rRNA from 1 species
CCUACGGGAGGCAGCAGUGGGGAAUAUUGCACAAUGGGGGAAACCCUGAUGCAGCGACGCCGCGUGAGUGAAGAAGUAUUUCGGUACGUAAAGCUCUAUCAGCAGGGAAGAAAAUGACGGUACCUGACUAAGAAGCCCCGGCUAACUACGUGCCAGCAGCCGCGGUAAUACGUAGGGGGCAAGCGUUAUCCGGCUUUACUGGGUGUAAAGGGAGCGUAGACGGCAGCGCAAGUCUGGAGUGAAAUCCCAUGGCUUAACCAUGGAACUGCCUUGGAAACUGUGCAGCUAGAGUGCAGGAGAGGUAAGCGGAAGUCCUAGUGUAGCGGUGAAAUGCGUAGAUAUUAGGAGGAACACCAGUGGCGAAGGCGGCUUACUGGACUGUAACUGACGUUGAGGCUCGAAAGCGUGGGGAGCAAACAGGAUUAGAUACCCUGGUAGUC